rnacentral:rRNA from 1 species
AUGAAACCUUCGGAAGCAAUCUUUUUGGAACAAAUGCAAUCCAGGAGACUUGGAGUGGACGUCAAGAAGCGAACGAGGAGGCCACGAGGGUGCCUGGCGCACCCCCACCCUCGUGGGGCCCUCGAGCAUCAACCAACAUACUUCUUCCUCCUAUAUAUAUCCACGGACCCCGAAAACAUCCAGGAGCACCAUGAAAAACUAUUUCCACCGCUGCAACCUUCUGUAUCCGCGAGAUCCCAUCUUGGAGCCUUCGUCGGCGCUCCGCCGGAGGGGGAAUCGACCAUGGAGGGCCUCUACAUAAUAUCAAAGGCCUCUCCUAUGAGUUGUGAGUAG